UCAUCUGGUGGGGAUUUCUACAUGUUGUAGCCUCAAUGGUGCUGCCCACAGUGUCAUAGAAGCUAUAAUGGCACAUAUAUAAAUAUGAGUCCUCUAUCUAUCUCUAUUCUCUCUCUCUGCAAAGAGUCGCCCGUUAACCCUCAAACUAACGAAUAGCCCUUUAAAAAGGUGGAAGUAAAAUAAUUACACCAUUCCUUUGUGGACCGCCAUAAUAUUACAGAAGAAGAAGAGAGAAUUACAGGUCGGUCAGAGCCUACGGUCAGAGUCAAAAGCGCAACAGAGCGGAGACACGAUGUGGUACUUUCCUUCGUUCUCCACAGAGACAUGGACUCUGGUAGCGAUACUAUUUGCUAUCUUCAUGUGGUAUGGGUAUGCACCUUAUGGAUUCUUCAAGAAACUCGGCAUCCAGGGACCUAAACCUCUCCCCUUCAUAGGGACGUUUUUAGAGUACAAAAGGGGUCUCUUCAUAUUUGACAAUGCCUGUUACCAGAAGUACGGCGAUGUGUGGGGGUUAUUUGAUGGCAGACUGCCCAUAAUGGGUGUGAUGGACACAGCCAUGAUCAAAACCAUCCUGGUGAAGGAAUGUUACUCUGUGUUUACCAACAGACGGGACUUUGGGUUGAACGGGGAGCUCCACGACGCUGUAACAACCGUAGAAGACGAUGAGUGGAAGAGAAUCCGCAGCACUCUGUCUCCCUCCUUCACCAGUGGACGACUCAAAGAUAUGUUCAUGAUAAUGACUCAACACUCCAGAAACCUGGUGAAGUUUCUGCAGAAGAAAGUGGACACUGACGAGGUCCUGGAAGUUAAAGAAAUCUUUGGGGCCUACAGUAUGGACGUGGUGGCAAGUAGCGCGUUCAGUGUUGACAUUGAUUCUAUCAACCAACCCAACGAUCCCUUAGUUGUCAACGUAAAGAAACUACUCAAAUUCAACCUGUUAAAUCCUCUCCUAAUCUUAGUAGUGUUGUUCCCGUUUAUGCGUCCGCUCCUGGAAAUGUGUAAUGUCUCUUUCCUACCUGCUGGUGCUAUGAAAUUCUUCUAUUCCUUCCUGAGGAAGAUCAAAGCAGAGAGGAGCAAGAAUGUACACAAUACCAGAGUGGACUUAAUGCAGCUGAUGGUGGACUCUCAGAUCCCACAGGACCACAGGUCCAAGGAGGCUGCACACAAAGGGCUGACCGACCAUGAGAUCCUGUCCCAGGCGUUGACAUACAUCUUUGGGGGCUAUGAGACCAGCAGCAGCACACUGGGUUUCCUAUCCUAUAACCUGGCAACAAACCCUGACGUCCAGGCUGCCCUGCAGGAUGAGAUCGACCAGAUCUUCCCCGACAAGGCUCCACCCACCUAUGAAGGGCUGAUGCAGAUGGAGUAUCUGGACAUGGUCAUCAACGAGACCUUGCGGGUGUAUCCCAUCAUCAGCCGGCUAGAGAGGGUUGCCAAGGCGACCGUGGAGGUGAAUGGUGUGACCAUCCCCAAGGGAACUGUUGUCAUGAUCCCAAUCAUGGUCCUUCACCACCACCCAACACACUGGCCCAAACCUGAAGUCUUCCGACCAGAGAGGUUCAGUAAGGGGAACAGAGAGAACAUUGAUCCCUACACCUUCCUUACGUUUGGGAUGGGGCCCAGGAACUGUAUCGGCAUGAGAUUCGCCCUCCAGACCAUUAAGCUGGUGACAGUGGAGAUCCUCCAGAGGUUCAGUUUUGUCACCUGCAAGGAGACAGAAGUUCAGUAAGGGGAACAGAGAGAACAUUGAUCCCUACACCUUCCUUACGUUUGGGAUGGGGCCCAGGAACUGUAUCGGCAUGAGAUUCGCCCUCCAGACCAUUAAGCUGGUGACAGUGGAGAUCCUCCAGAGGUUCAGUUUUGUCACCUGCAAGGAGACAGAAGUUCCUCUGGAGCUGUUUGACAACGGCUUCAUCGCCCCAACGAAGCCCAUCAAGCUGAAGCUGGUCCCCCGUGUUGUGGCCCACAGCCAGGAUUGAGAGGAGAGGCACAGGUAUACAGGACACUACCCUGUUAGUCUAGCCAAGUCGGUUUCUGCUUCAGUCAAACAUGGUUGGCAUGGCAAUGAGUAAAUUGUCUAAAGGACAAGGCAACCUUCCUAUUGGAAGGGAUCGUCUUAGACUCGUUGAUAUUCCAGGCUUAUCCUCUGGAAUUAGUACAAUUGAUUGUUUUUAUAGUGAAGAAACUGCCCAACUAGCUAUAUUACUAAAAUAUUGACAUGUGUAGGCUUUUUGUAUCAUAUUUGCAGGAAUCCCUUGAAAUUAAGAUGCCUCAUCUCAAGGGUCAUGCAAUGAGUAUAAAGUGAAUACAAUAUGGACUAUUGUAGUAACCAUGUGUGUCUUCAUUUGUUUUGUCAAAUCAUUUCUGUUCAGGCAUUGAACAACCACAGAUCACUAACUAACUUACCUGCAAGAGAUUGCUGCAACACAAUGUACAACCAAUAUAUAAUCUAUGACCAUGAAUGAUCUAAUGCUUUUACUGAUGUUAGAUAGUAUCCCUCAUAUAACCCUCUUAUAAAACUCACAUACCGUGUCCACCAACCCCUCCUGUAUAUUAUGCUUUGCAAUAGAAUGCCUGAGACUGUCACUUCCUCUGUUUAUGCUGUACGGGGUUUUGGAAUGUGUUAUGUAAUGAUUUAAUCUGUAGUGUAAUUCUAACAGUAAUACUGCUGGACUGUAGUAAAUGUUUUCUACCUGUAAGACUAGCUGCUUGAGUUGAAUAUGUUCUGUUCCCCAGUCACCUGUACGUUCACCUAUUCCCCAGUCACCUGUACGUUCACCUGUCUAACAGUCACCUGUACGUUCACCUGUUCCCCAGUCACCUGUACGUUCACCUGUUCCCCAGUCACUUGUACGUUCACCUGUUCUCCAGUCACUUGUAGGUUUGUCUGUUCUCCAGUCACCUGUACGUUCACCUGUUCCCCAGUCACUUGUACGUUCACCUGUUCCCCAGUCACCUGUACGUUCACCUGUUCCCCAGUCACCUGUACGUUCACCUGUUCCCCAGUCACUUGUAGGUUCACCUGUUCCCCAGUCACUUGUAGGUACACCUGUUCCCCAGUCACUUGUAGGUUCGCCUGUUCCCCAGUCACUUGUACGUUCACCUGUUCUCCAGUCACCUGUACGUUCACCUGUCUAACAGUCACCUGUACGUUCACCUGUUCCCCAGUCACCUGUACGUUCACCUGUUCCCCAGUCACUUGUACGUUCACCUGUUCUCCAGUCACUUGUAGGUUUGUCUGUUCUCCAGUCACCUGUACGUUCACCUGUUCCCCAGUCACUUGUACGUUCACCUGUUCCCCAGUCACCUGUACGUUCACCUGUUCCCCAGUCACCUGUACGUUCACCUGUUCCCCAGUCACUUGUAGGUUCACCUGUUCCCCAGUCACUUGUAGGUUCACCUGUUCCCCAGUCACUUGUACAUUCACCUGUUCCCCAGUCACUUGUACGUUCACCUGUUCCCCAGUCACUUGUACGUUCACCUGUUCCCCAGUCACCUGUACGUUCACCUGUUCCCCAGUCACCUGUACGUUCACCUGUUCCCCAGUCACUUGUAGGUUCACCUGCUCCCCAGUCACUUGUAGGUUCACCUGUUCCCUAGUCACUUGUACGUUCACCUGUUCCCCAGUCACUUGUACGUUCACCUGUUCCCCAGUCACUUGUAGGUUCACCUGUUCUCCAGUCACCUGUACGUUCACCUGUUCCCCAGUCAGUUGUAGGUUCACCUGUUCCCCAGUCACUUGUAGAUUCACCUGUUCCCCAGUCACUUGUAGAUUCACCUGUUCCCCAGUCACUUGUACGUUCACCUGUUCUCCAGUCACUUGUAGGUUUGUCUGUUCUCCAGUCACCUGUACGUUCACCUGUUCCCCAGUCACUUGUACGUUCACCUGUUCCCCAGUCACUUGUAAGUUCGUCUGUUCUCCAGUCACCUGUACGUUCACCUGUUUCCCAGUCACCUGUACGUUCACCUGUUCCCCAGUCACUUGUAGGUUCGCCUAUUCUCCAGUCACCUGUACGUUCACCUGCUCCCCAGUCACUUGUAGGUUCACCUGUUCCCCAGUCACUUGUACGUUCACCUGUUCCCCAGUCACUUGUACGUUCACCUGUUCCCCAGUCACCUGUACGUUCACCUGUUCAACAGUCACCUGUACGUUCACCUGUUCCCCAGUCACUUGUAGGUUCGCCUAUUCUCCAGUCACCUGUACGUUCACCUGUUCCCCAGUCACUUGUAGGUUCACCUGUUCCCUAGUCACUUGUACGUUCACCUGUUCCCCAGUCACUUGUACGUUCACCUGUUCCCCAGUCACUUGUAGGUUCACCUGUUCUCCAGUCACCUGUACGUUCACCUGUUCCCCAGUCACUUGUAGGUUCACCUGUUCCCCAGUCACUUGUAGAUUCACCUGUUCCACAGUCACUUGUACGUUCACCUGUUCUCCAGUCACUUAUAGGUUUGUCUGUUCUCCAGUCACCUGUACGUUCACCUGUUCCCCAGUCACUUGUACGUUCACCUGUUCCCCAGUCACUUGUAAGUUCGUCUGUUCUCCAGUCACCUGUACGUUCACCUGUUCCCCAGUCACCUGUACGUUCACCUGUUCCCUAGUCACUUGUAGGUUCGUCUGUUCUCCAGUCACCUGUACGUUCACCUGUUCCCCAGUCACUUGUACGUUCACCUGUUCCCCAGUCACUUGUAGGUUCACCUGUUCCCCAGUCACCUGUACGUUCCCCUGUUCUCCAGUCACCUGUAGGUUCACCUGUUCCCCAGUCACCUGUACGUUCCCCUGUUCUCCAGUCACCUCUACGUUCACCUGUUCCCCAGUCACUUGUACGUUCACCUGUUCCCCAGUCACUUGUCGUUUCACCUGUUCCCCAGUCACUUGUCGUUUCACCUGUUCCCCAGUCACCUGUACGUUCACCUGUUCCCUAGUCACUUGUACGUUCCCCUGUUCCCCAGUCACUUGUAAGUUCGUCUGUUCUCCAGUCACCUGUACGUUCACCUGUUCCCCAGUCACCUGUACGUUCCCCUGUUCCCUAGUCACUUGUAGGUUCACCUGUUCCCUAGUCACUUGUAGGUUCACCUGUUCCCUAGUCACUUGUAGGUUCACCUGUUCCCUAGUCACUUGUACGUUCACCUGUUCCCUAGUCACUUGUAGGUUCACCUGUUCCCUAGUCACUUGUAGGUUCACCUGUUCCCUAGUCACUUGUACGUUCACCUGUUCCCCAGUCACCUGUAUGUUCACCUGUUCCCUAGUCACUUGUACGUUCACCUGUUCCCCAGUCACUUGUACGUUCACCUGUUCCCUAGUCACCUGUACGUUCACCUGUUCCUCAGUCACCUGUAUGUUCACCUGUUCCUCAGUCACCUGUAUGUUCACCUGUUCCUCAGUCACCUCUAUGUUCACCUGUUCCCCAGUCACCUGUACGUUCACCUGUUCCUCAGUCACCUGUAUGUUCACCUGUUCCUCAGUCACCUGUAUGUUCACCUGUUCCCCAGUCACUUGUACGUUCACCUGUUCCUCAGUCACUUGUACGUUCACCUGUUCCUCAGUCACCUGUACGUUCACCUGUUCCUCAGUCACCUGUACGUUCACCUGUUCCCCAGUCACUUGUACGUUCACCUGUUCCUCAGUCACCUGUACGUUCACCUGUUCCUCAGUCACCUGUAUGUUCACCUGUUCCUCAGUCACCUGUAUGUUCACCUGUUCCUCAGUCACCUGUAUGUUCACCUGUUCCUCAGUCACCUGUAUGUUCACCUGUUCCUCAGUCACCUGUAUGUUCACCUGUUCCUCAGUCACCUGUAUGUUCACCUGUUCCCCAGUUGUGUGUAGCCCUGUUAACCUUUUUAUAUCUGGAGAGAGAAAAAACUAUCUACCAACAUUCAUUUCUCUAGCUGUAACCUAUCAAAAUAAAUAAAGUGGCACACUCCAUGUAUAAACUCCCA